rnacentral:rRNA from 1 species
AUGGCUUAUGUACCAAAACAACCACCAAAUAAGCAUAGUAAAACUUGCCAAUGUCUCUGGGUUCAGCAAACAAGGCAUAUAUCACUUGACCAAAUUAACUGUAGGUCUUCCAAACCUCCAGCAGCUUGCAGAUCUUCCACAACUCCAUCAACUUGUGAAGUGGUACCUAAAGACAGAGCAUUUAACCAUGUGGCAUAUGUGGUUAGCAACUCAAAACUUGAUAAACAAUUUAAAACAGAAUAUGUGGCCUUUGGUCAUAGCUGGCUAGUGGCUACAAAGAACACAAAACAAUGCAUCGUAUAA